CCUACGGGCGGCUGCAGUGGGGAAUAUUGGACGAUGGGCGAAAGCCUGAUCCAGCCAUGCCGCGUGUGUGAAGAAGGCCUUCGGGUUGUAAAGCACUUUCAGUGGGGAAGAAAGCCUUGGGGCUAAUACCCUCGAGGAAGGACAUCACCCACAGAAGAAGCACCGGCUAACUCCGUGCCAGCAGCCGCGGUAAUACGGAGGGUGCGAGCGUUAAUCGGGAUUACUGGGCGUAAAGCGCGCGUAGGCGGUCUGAUAAGCCGGUUGUGAAAGCCCCGGGCUCAACCUGGGAACGGCAUCCGGAACUGUCAGGCUAGAGUGCAGGAGAGGAAGGUAGAAUUCCCGGUGUAGCGGUGAAAUGCGUAGAGAUCGGGAGGAAUACCAGUGGCGAAGGCGGCCUUCUGGACUGACACUGACGCUGAGGUGCGAAAGCGUGGGUAGCAAACAGGAUUAGAUACCCCGGUAGUC
rnacentral:rRNA from 1 species